GCACAAGCGGUGGAGCAUGUGGUUUAAUUCGACGCGACGCGAAGAACCUUACCUGGGCUUGACAUGUGAGUGACAGGUGUGGAAACACACUCUCCCUUCGGGGCACUUUCACAGGUGGUGCAUGGCUGUCGUCAGCUCGUGUCGUGAGAUGUUGGGUUAAGUCCCGCAACGAGCGCAACCCCCGUCGCAUGUUGCCAGCAUUUAGUUGGGGACUCAUGCGAGACUGCCGGUGACAAACCGGAGGAAGGUGGGGAUGACGUCAAGUCCUCAUGCCCCUUAUGUCCAGGGCUACACACGUGCUACAUUGGCGCGUACAGAGGGCUGCGAUACCGCGAGGUGGAGCGAAUCCCUUAAAGCGCGUCUCGGUUCGGAUUGCAGGCUGAAAUUCGCCUGCAUGAAGGCGGAGUUGCUAGUAAUCGCGGAUCAGCACUGCCGCGGUGAAUACGUUCCCGGGC
rnacentral:rRNA from 1 species